CGAGGGGCAGCAUGUCUUAGCUUGCUAAGGCGAUGGCGACCGGCGCACGGGUGAGUAACGCGUAUCCACCUGCCUUACACUCUUGGACAGCCUUCUGAAAGGGAGAUUAAUACAAGAUGUUUAAGCAUUCGUAAAGGUUUCCGGUGUAAGAUGGGGAUGCGUUCCAUUAGAUAGUAGGCGGGGUAACGGCCCACCUAGUCUUCGAUGGAUAGGGGUUCUGAGAGGAAGGUCCCCCACAUUGGAACUGAGACACGGUCCAAACUCUACGGGAGGCAGCAGUGAGGAAUAUUGGUCAAUGGACGAGAGUCUGAACCAGCCAAGUAGCGUGAAGGAUGAAGGUUUAUGGAUUGUAAACUUCUUUUAUACGGGAAUAACGAAUCCACGUGUGGAUUUCUGCAUGUACCGUAUGAAUAAGGAUCGGCUAACUCCGUGCCAGCAGCCGCGGUAAUACGGAGGAUCCGAGCGUUAUC
rnacentral:rRNA from 1 species